rnacentral:rRNA from 1 species
GAUUGAUCCUGGCUCAGAUUGAACGCUGGCGGCAGGCCUAACACAUGCAAGUCGAGCGGAUGACGGGAGCUUGCUCCUUGAUUCAGCGGCGGACGGGUGAGUAAUGCCUAGGAAUCUGCCUGGUAGUGGGCGACAACGUUUCGAUAGGAACGCUAAUACCGCAUACGUCCUACGGGAGAAAGCAGGGGACCUUCGGGCCUUGCGCUAUCAGAUGAGCCUAGGUCGGAUUAGCUAGUUGGUGGGGUAAUGGCUCACCAAGGCGACGAUCCGUAACUGGUCUGAGAGGAUGAUCAGUCACACUGGAUCUGAGACACGGUCCAGACUCCUACGGGAGGCAGCAGUGGGGAAUAUUGGACAAUGGGCGAAAGCCUGAUCCAGCCAUGCCGCGUGUGUGAAGAAGGUCUUCGGAUUGUAAAGCACUUAAAGUUGGGAGGAAGGGCAGUAAGUUAAUACCUUGCUGUAAUGACGUUACCGACAGAAUAAGCACCGGCUAACUCUGUGCCAGCAGCCGCGGUAAUACAGAGGGUGCAAGCGUUAAUCGGAAUUACUGGGCGUAAAGCGCGCGUAGGUGGUUUGUAAAGUUGGAUGUGAAAGCCCCGGGCUCAACCUGGGAACUGCAUCCAAAACUGGCAAGCUAGAGUACGGUAGAGGGUGGUGGAAUAUCCUGUGUAGCGGUGAAAUGCGUAGAUAUAGGAAGGAACACCAGUGGCGAAGGCGACCACCUGGACUGAUACUGACAC